GAGUUUGAUCCUGGCUCAGGAUGAACGCUAGCUACAGGCUUAACACAUGCAAGUCGAGGGGCAGCAGGACGAUAGCUUGCUAUUGUCGCUGGCGACCGGCGCACGGGUGAGUAACGCGUAUCCAACCUUCCCCAUAGUAGAGGAUAGCCCGGCGAAAGUCGGAUUAAUACUCUAUGUUGUGUCAUGAGGACAUCUGAAUAACACUAAAGAUUUAUCGCUAUGGGAUGGGGAUGCGUCUGAUUAGCUUGUCGGCGGGUAACGGCCCACCGAGGCAACGAUCAGUAGGGGUUCUGAGAGGAAGGUCCCCCACAUUGGUACUGAGACACGGACCAAACUCUACGGGAGGCAGCAGUGAGGAAUAUUGGUCAAUGGGCGGGAGCCUGAACCAGCCAAGUAGCGUGCAGGAUGACUGCCCUAUGGGUUGUAAACUGCUUUUAUGCGGGAAUAAAGUCAGGUACGCGUACCUGUUUGUAUGUACCGCAUGAAUAAGGACCGGCUAAUUCCGUGCCAGCAGCCGCGGUAAUACGGAAGGUCCGGGCGUUAUCCGGAUUUAUUGGGUUUAAAGGGAGCGCAGGCGGAAGGUUAAGCGUGACGUGAAAUGUACCGGCUCAACCGGUGAUGUGCGUCGCGAACUGGCUUUCUUGAGUGAGUACGACGCUGGCGGAAUUCGUGGUGUAGCGGUGAAAUGCUUAGAUAUCACGAAGAACUCCGAUUGCGAAGGCAGCCGGCGAGUCCUCAACUGACGCUAAUGCUCGAAAGUGCGGGUAUCGAACAGGAUUAGAUACCCUGGUAGUCCGCACGGUAAACGAUGGAUGCCCGCUGUUGGCGAUACAAUGUCAGCGGCCAAGCGAAAGCGUUAAGCAUCCCACCUGGGGAGUACGCCGGCAACGVNAAACUCAAAGGAAUUGACGGGGGCCCGCACAAGCGGAGGAACAUGUGGUUUAAUUCGAUGAUACGCGAGGAACCUUACCCGGGCUUGAACUGCAGCAGAACGAUAGAGAGAUCUUGANGCCUUCGGGGCUGCUGUGGAGGUGCUGCAUGGUUGUCGUCAGCUGUG
rnacentral:rRNA from 1 species